CUACGGGAGGCAGCAGUAGGGAAUCUUCCGCAAUGGACGCAAGUCUGACGGAGCAACGCCGCGUGAGUGAUGAAGGUUUUCGGAUCGUAAAGCUCUGUUGCCAGGGAAGAACGCCAAGGAGAGUAACUGCUCUUUGGGUGACGGUACCUGAGAAGAAAGCCCCGGCUAACUACGUGCCAGCAGCCGCGGUAAUA
rnacentral:rRNA from 1 species